UACGUAGGGGGCUAGCGUUGUCCGGAAUCAUUGGGCGUAAAGCGCGUGUAGGCGGUCCGGUAAGUCCGCUGUGAAAGUCGGGGGCUCAACCCUCGGAUGCCGGUGGAUACUGUCGGGCUUGAGUACGGAAGAGGCGAGUGGAAUUCCUGGUGUAGCGGUGAAAUGCGCAGAUAUCAGGAGGAACACCAAUUGCGAAGGCAGCUCGCUGGGACGUUACUGACGCUGAGACGCGAAAGCGUGGGGGGCAAACAGG
rnacentral:rRNA from 1 species